AUUGAACGCUGGCGGCAGGCCUAACACAUGCAAGUCGAACGGUAACAGGAAGCAUCUUGCUGCUUUGCUGACGAGUGGCGGGCGGGAUGGCUAUGUAUGUGAAACUGCGCGAUGGAGGGGGAUAGCUACUGGAAACUGUUACUACUACCGCAUAACGUGGCAAGACCAGAGAGGUUGACCUUAGACGCUCUUGGCUUCGCAUGGGCCCAGGUGGGAUUAGCUAGUAGGUGGGGUAACGGCUCACCUAGGCGACGAUCCCUACCUGGUCUGAGAGGAUGAACAGUCACACUGGAACUGAGACACGGUCCAGACUCCUACGGGAGGCAGCAGUGGGGAAUAUUGGACAAUGGGCGAAAGCCUGAUGCAGCCAUGCCGCGUGUAUGAAGAAGGUCUUCGGGUUGUAAAGUACUUUCAGCGGGGAGGAAGGGAGGAAAGUUAAUACCUUGCCUUAUUGACGUUACCAGCAGAAGAAGCACCGGCUAACUUCGUG
rnacentral:rRNA from 1 species